rnacentral:rRNA from 1 species
GUGCCAGCCGCGGCGGUAAUACGUAGGGCGCAAGCGUUGUCCGGAAUUAUUGGGCGUAAAGAGCUCGUAGGUGGUCUGUCGCGUCUGGUGUGAAAUCCCGAGGCUCAACUUCGGGCUUGCAUCGGGUACGGGCAGACUAGAGUGCGGUAGGGAGACGUGGAAUUCCUGGUGUAGCGGUGGAAUGCGCAGAUAUCAGGAGAACACCGAUGGCGAAGGCAGGUCUCUGGGCCGCAACUGACGCUGAGGAGCGAAAGCAGUGGGAGCGAACAGGAUUAGAUACCCUGGUAGUCCAUGCCGUAAACGUUGGGCACGUAGGUGUGGGCUC